GCACGGCCGCGGCGCGGGGACGCGGCCCCGGGCUCCCGCCCGCCCUCGCACGCACACACGCACACACAUACACACACACUCACACACUCACACGCGCGCUCCCUCGGUGCCUGCUCCUUCCUCGCCCCCCGCCGCCUCCCCCGCCUCCUCCUCCUCCUUUCUCUGCGACGAGACGGAGAGAGGGAGCGAGGGGAACGGCGCUCGCAGGUAUUUGUUUAGCGGCUCGGCGCUGCCGGAUGGGCACCCCCGCCCCCCGCGCCCCUUCCCGCCGCCCCUCGCAGUUUGUUUACAAGUCGCAAAGUUGUAAUUGAGGAGCCGCCAGGACACAGCUGGAUGCUCGCUGCCGCCGCUGCUCCCUCUCCUUCUUUGUGUUACGGACUGAUGUGCAACUAAUUAGCGGCGGGCAGGCUGCGCAUCCGAGCCCCCCCAGUAAAGAGCCCGGUAAGUGACUGCUUUGCUUUUUUCCCUCUCCUCCCUCCUUCUCCGUGUUCUUUUCUUUUUUUCUUUUUUUUUUUUUUCCUUAGGGGGGUGGCUUUUCUUUUUUUUUUUUUUAUCUUUCUCGUUCUGUGCUUUGUCGGCGGCUUUUUGUAUCUUUUAUUUUUCAUUUUUUGCCGUCGUUCUUGUCCUCCGGGCUCGCCAAAGUACCCGAACGCCAGAGCCGGGCGAGAAAAGGCGCCGCGGCAUUAAUUUAUUAAUUAAUCUGCCCCCGCCCCUCCUCCCGAAUGUCAAAUAUGACCUCUGCUCCCCGGCUCCUGCACGACAGACGUGCGGGAGCGAACAUGCACGGCCACGGCCGCCUCCCGCCGGCGGUCCCCGGUGCGGGCUGCGGGCUCAGCCCCGGGCACGCGGCCUCGCGGUGCGUGAUCGAUGCGUGCCCGCCGCCGCCGGGGGCCCCGAGGCCGUGCGGCUCCGCUUGCCUUCCUCUCGGGGCAGCCUUUGUAUUGCCGGCUGCGCCCCGGGCUCGUCCCUUCCCCGCCGAAGGGAGGACGCGGAGCGGCUCCCGGUCUCCUCCCGCCGUGCCCCAGCCCGGGGCGAGGCUUCUCGCUCAGGUUCGCGCUCCCUUCGCUCGGAUCUGUUGACAUAAAGCCCGCUUUUCGGUGCCUCGGGAGAAGAUGAAGUUGGUGCGCUCGCUAGACGCGGCCCCGCGGCGUGCCCGGAGCGAGCCCCUGCCCGAUGGCCGCCCGUCGGAAAAGGUGCUGGAAAUAUCUGAGCCGCUCAGGUACGGCAGCUGGAAAACAAAGAGCCACUGUUCGGAAACUGAGGGCUUUUGAAGUUGUGCUGCUGUUUCGCCUCAGUUGGCGAAGGCUGCCGUAACGUGCCUUUCUCCCGCCUCUAAACCGAGCCCCCCGGCAGCGGCCUGCGGGCGGCCGUCCUGACCCCGCGGCUCCCCGCAGACGGCCUCGGGGAUCCCUCCCUCCCCGCGGGGUGAGCCCC
ensembl:lncRNA